rnacentral:rRNA from 1 species
UACGUAGGGUGCGAGCGUUGUCCGGAAUUAUUGGGCGUAAAGAGCUUGUAGGCGGUUUGUCGCGUCUGCUGUGAAAAUCCGGGGCUCAACCCCGGACUUGCAGUGGGUACGGGCAGACUGGAGUGUGGUAGGGGAGACUGGAAUUCCGUGGUGUAGCGGUGGAAUGCGCAGAUAUCAGGAGGAACACCGAUGGCGAAGGCAGGUCUCUGGGCCACUACUGACGCUGAGAAGCGAAAGCGUGGGGAGCGAACAGG